ACCAAUUCUGGGGGAUAAAUGGUUCCUCCUGGUAUAAUGGCUUGGGCGCUAUAACAAAUCUGUGGCUAUCCUGAUCUGUGGUUUUCUCAGUGCCAUUAGAUCCUGGAAACACCUCAUACAUAU